UAUUGGUCAAUGGGCGCGAGUCUGAACCAGCCAAGUAGCGUGAAGGAUGACUGCCCUAUGGGUUGUAAACUUCUUUUAUAUGGGAAUAAAGUUUUACACGCAUGGACUUUUGUAUGUACUAUAUGAAUAAGUAUCGGCUAACUCCUUUCCAGCAGCCGCGGUAAUACGGAGGAUCCGAGCGUUAUCCGGAUUUCUUGGGUUUAAAGGGAGCGUAGGUGGACAGUUAAGUCAGUUGUGAAAGUUUGCGGCUCAACCGUAAAAUUGCAGUUGAUACUGGCUGUCUUGAGUACAGUAGAGGUGGGCGGAAUUCGUGGUGUAGCGGUGAAAUGCUUAGAUAUCACGAAGAACUCCGAUUGCGAAGGCAGCUCACUGGACUGCAACUGACACUGAUGCUCGAAAGUGUGGGUAUCAAACA
rnacentral:rRNA from 1 species